UGGAUCAAUGAUAAAACUUGCUGGCAUAUGAAUCUUGGAUAAUGGAUGAUACGUGUGUGGAACUCUGAGGUCCAA
rnacentral:snoRNA from 10 species